GCUAGGUGUGGUGGCGCCCACCUGUAAUCCCAUCUACUCUGGAGGCCGAGGCAGGGAAAUUGCUUGAACCCGGGAGCUGGAGGUUGCAGUGAGCUGAGAUCACGCCACUGCACUCCAGCCUGGGCGACAGAGCAAGACUCUGUCUCAA
rnacentral:SRP_RNA from 1 species